GAUGAACGCUGGCGGCGUGCCUAAUACAUGCAAGUAGAACGCUGAAGGAAGGAGCUUGCUCUUUCCGGAUGAGUUGCGAACGGGUGAGUAACGCGUAGGUAACCUGCCUGGUAGCGGGGGAUAACUAUUGGAAACGAUAGCUAAUACCGCAUAACAGUAGAUGUUGCAUGACAACUAUUUGAAAGGGGCAAUUGCUCCACUACCAGAUGGACCUGCGUUGUAUUAGCUAGUUGGUGAGGUAACGGCUCACCAAGGCGACGAUACAUAGCCGACCUGAGAGGGUGAUCGGCCACACUGGGACUGAGACACGGCCCAGACUCCUACGGGAGGCAGCAGUAGGGAAUCUUCGGCAAUGGACGGAAGUCUGACCGAGCAACGCCGCGUGAGUGAAGAAGGUUUUCGGAUCGUAAAGCUCUGUUGUAAGAGAAGAACGAGUGUGAGAGUGGAAAGUUCACACUGUGACGGUAUCUUACCAGAAAGAGACGGCUAACUACGUG
rnacentral:rRNA from 1 species